GAUGAACGCUGGCGGCGUGCCUAAUACAUGCAAGUCGAGCGAAUGGAUUAAGAGCUUGCUCUUAUGAAGUUAGCGGCGGACGGGUGAGUAACACGUGGGUAACCUGCCCAUAAGACUGGGAUAACUCCGGGAAACCGGGGCUAAUACCGGAUAACAUUUUGAACCGCAUGGUUCGAAAUUGAAAGGCGGCUUCGGCUGUCACUUAUGGAUGGACCCAGGUCGCAUUAGCUAGUUGGGGAGGUAACGGCGCACCAAGGCAACGAUGCGUAGCCGACCUGAGGGGGUGGGCGGCCCACCUGGGACUGAGACACGGCCCAGACUCCUACGGGAGGCAGCAGUAGGGAAUCGUCCGCAAUGGGCGAAAGGCUGGCGGAGCAACGGCGCGUGAGUGAUGAAGGCUUUCGGGUCUUAAAACUCUGUUGUUAGGGAAGAACAAGUGCUAGUUGAAUAAGCUGGCACCUUGACGGUACCUAACCAGAAAGCAACGGCUAACUACGUGCCAGCCGCCGCUGUAA
rnacentral:rRNA from 1 species